GCGAUACGUAAUGUGAAUUGCAGAAUUCAGUGAAUCAUCGAAUCUUUGAACGCACCUUGCGCUCCUUGGUAUUCCUUGGAGCAUGCCUCUUUGAGUAUCAUGAAAUCUUCAAAGUAAAUCUUUUGUUAACUCAAUUGGUUUCUACUUUGGUAUUGGAGGUCUUUGCAGCUUCACACCUGCUCCUCUUUGUUCAUUAGCUGGAUCUCAGUGUUAUGCUUGGUUCCACUCGGCGUGAUAAGUUAUCUAUCGCUGAGGACACUGUAAAAGGUGGCCAAGGUAAAUGCAGAUGAACCGCUUCUAAUAGUCCAUUGACUUGGACAAUACUUUUAUGAUCUGAUCUCAAAUCAGGUAGGACUACCCGCUGAACUUAAGC
rnacentral:misc_RNA from 1 species